AAUAAAAUUGCUGGACCACUUUCAGGAAGUUAUGGUUUUGAUACGAACUUCAUUUCUCUUUUUUAUUCUUUUCUGCAAAUGGAGUGGCAUUUUAAUUUUUUCUCCUCCUAAUGCAUUUGAACAAUAUCUUGUUUGCCAAAAUGUUGCCAAGUAAAUGAUUCUCUUGUCCUCAACACUCAGUAGGAAAGUAUGCUAUUGAUGCCAGAACAUGCAUAAAUUAGAUGUUUGAAAAUUAAUUAUGAUGCCAGGAAAAUAAUUUAUUAUUCUCAUUCUCUGAGUCCUUUAGGUUAUAUCAUUAUUCGUCAUUAUAUCUGAUUAUUAAUAGGCUCUUUUGAUCAUUUGACUCUUUGAUAAUUAAAGUUGAGGCAUUUAUGACCUGUAUCCUUGUCCAUUUAUGAUAUUGAGUUUUUUGCUUUCUUAGUCUGCAACACUAAAUACAUUAGAACUACUGUUGAAUAUGCACACUGGGGUUGUGUUUAUGGCUUCUUUGUAGAUAAGGAAGGUGAAGAUAAUUUUCCCUUUUGUCUAGUUGGCAGGUUUGUGGCCAAUUAUUUAGUUUUCUUGGAAACAAAAGGUGCAGGAGCUGGUUUUGAGGCGUGAGAGUAGAUACCA
rnacentral:misc_RNA from 1 species